UACGUAGGGGGCAAGCGUUGUCCGGAAUCAUUGGGCGUAAAGAGCGUGUAGGCGGCUCGGUAAGUCCGCUCUGAAAGCCCGGGGCUCAACCCCGGGAGGCGGGCGGAUACUGUCGGGCUAGAGUCCGGAAGAGGCGAGUGGAAUUCCUGGUGUAGCCGGUGAAAUGCGCAGAUAUCAGGAGGAACACCAAUGGCGAAGGCAGCUCGCUGGGACGGUACUGACGCUGAGACGCGAAAGCGUGGGGAGCAAACAGG
rnacentral:rRNA from 1 species